rnacentral:rRNA from 1 species
CACACCAUGAGAGUUGGUAACACCCGAAGUCCGUGAGGUAACCGUAAGGAGCCAGCGGCCGAAGGUGGGAUUGAUGAUUGGGGUGAAGUCGUAACAAGGUAGCCGUAGGAGAACCUGCGGCUGGAUCACCUCCUUUCUAGGGAG